rnacentral:sRNA from 1 species
AAUGGCUCCAGCUUGAAAGUACGUCUUAUGCAACACCCUCGAAGUCCAUCUCUGGUACCUCGUUCUGUUUUUCAUAAGUAAACGCAAAACUUCCAGCAAAACCUGUCUUCUGGCCCACUUUGGCCAUUAGGCUUUAAAUUACUAUUGAAUUCAUAGGAUAAGAUUAUGUCUACCACUACCGGUACCGUUAAAUGGUUUAACGAAGCUAAAGGCUUUGGUUUCAUCGAGCAGGAAAAUGGUCCUGACGUGUUUGCACAUUUCAGUGCUAUUCAGGGCUCCGGCUUCAAGACCCUGACCGAAGGUCAGAAGGUCGAGUUCACUGUUACCCAGGGCCAGAAAGGUCCUCAGGCAGAGAACAUCGUAGCUAUCUGAUUUCAGAUUGCCGCCGUCCGGCAUGACCGGACAGCGCAAACGAGAAAAGCGGCUCCUUCGGGAGCCGUUUUUUUU